GGGAGGAUAUUGCUUCUUAAGGAGUACGUAAAGCGAAUCAUGGAUCAUCAAAGGAGUACUUAUCAAGGAUCAAGUCGGUUUUACUUCUGGUCUUCAUUAAAUAGGAUCACGAUCUCUAUCGUUUUGUAGGUUGUCGAGAAGGGCAGUCAUACCUUCGAUGAGUAACGUGAAAUACCUCUCCCUUGCCGAGCAAGAGAAAAC